GAUGAACGCUAGCGGCAGGCUUAAUACAUGCAAGUCGAGGGGCAUCAAGGUACACGAAAGUGUAUUGUUGGCGACCGGCGGACGGGUGAGUAAUAGGUAGGUAACCUACCUCAUACUGAGGCAUAGCUGGGAGAAAUUCCAGGUAAUUCCUCAUGAGGUUAUAUGACACAUGUGAUAUAAUCAAAGGUAUCGCAAGGUACUGGUAUGAGAUGGGCUUACUGACCAUUAGCUAGUUGGUGAGAUAAGAGCUCACCAAGGCGAAGAUGGUUAGGGGUUUUGAGAGAGAGACUCCCCCACAUUGGAACUGAGAUACGGUCCAGACUCCUACGGGAGGCAGCAGUUGGGAAUCUUAGGCAAUGGACGAAAGUCUGACCUAGCGACGCCGCGUGAGGGAAGAAGGCCUUCGGGUUGUAAACCUCUGUCAUGGGGGAAGAAGUAAGUGACGGUACCCCAAGAGGAAGCCCCUGCUAACUACGUG
rnacentral:rRNA from 1 species